GCGUGGGAUGUUUUGGCGUGGAGAAAUAUUAGGAAAGAGGGUGGGGCGGCAAUAAGGGAGAAACCUAGUCCAUCUCUAUCUCUAACAACCAAACCCUAACUACCUCUAAGUUUAAAUAGAGGAUUAGUUUUGGAUGCCUCCCUAAUUGAUGAGAUCAAUAGUUUUGGGAUGCCCCAAAGUGGUUGGCGUGAGAAAAGAGAGAGAAUUGGGCGUUGGAAGAUAGGUUGGCGUGAGAUCAAGGAUGGGACACCCCUC
rnacentral:lncRNA from 1 species